GUGUGCGCUUGGGCUGGUCGGCCGUCAAGGUCUGUACCGUUCAGGUCACACCCCACUGUAGGAUACUCACCGCUGUCCUUAACUGGGUGGCGGUAAAAGGUUUUAGUAUGUGGGGGCAACUCUGUGUACUAGGAUUGGGGUUCCUACUCUUUUACUUUGAGCAAAUUAGAGUGUUCAAAGCAGGCAAUCGAGCCUUGAAUACUUCAGCAUGGGAUAAUGGAACAGGACUGGGGUCCUGAUUUCGUUGGUUUCUAGGAUCUCAGUA
rnacentral:rRNA from 1 species